AAUGAACGCUGGCGGCGUGCUUUACACAUGCAAGUCGAGCGAGGCCGGGUAGCAAUACCCGAGUCGAGCGGCGCACGGGUGAGUAACGCGUGGAUGACCUGCCUGAGGGUGGGGGAUAACCCGGGGAAACUCGGGCUAAUACCGCAUACAACCGAGAGGUCAAAGGGGGCCGCAAGGCUCUCGCCUGCAGAGGGGUCCGCGUCCGAUUAGCUAGUUGGCAGGGUAACGGCCCACCAAGGCGACGAUCGGUAGCCGGCCUGAGAGGGUGAUCGGCAACACUGGAACUGAGACACGGUCCAGACUCCUACGGGAGGCAGCAGUGGGGAAUUUUGCGCAAUGGGCGGAAGCCUGACGCAGCAACGCCGCGUGGAGGAUGAAGGUCUUCGGAUUGUAAACUCCUGUCAGUGGGGAAAAAGGGGAACGUGCUCAUACCACGUUUCAUUGAUUGUACCCGCAGAGGAAGCCCCGGCUAACUCUGUGCCAGCCGCCGCGGUAAGAC
rnacentral:rRNA from 1 species